rnacentral:lncRNA from 1 species
AAUGCCUGCUGCUUCUCCAAGCCUUCAUGGAAGGCGAUUUCUUUCCAGCGCAUCUCCAGAGAUGGCUAGGCCCUGCUCUCCCUGGACACCCUGCUCUGUCCCAUCCUGAGGACAGUGCCUAGAGCAGACUGGCCCAUGUCGUGUCCUUUCCCAAAGUCCAGAGGCAAGGAGACAGGCACUGACAGACAUUUGAGCCAGAUAAAUAGGAGAGGCCCAGGGUUCUACUGGCUACACAAAGAGCAGACAGAGUUCAGAGAGGGAGUGCACAUCUAUGACCAGGAGUCCAGGAAAGAGUAAUGGAAGAAGAGAUAUCAGAGCUCAACUCAGUCCUUAAGGAGGCUGCUGGUCUGGCCGCCCUGAGAACCUGCGUUCCAUCUGGGCAAGCAGUGUGUCCCUCGCUAGUCCACGCCCAGAGCUCUGACUCCCAGGAUCCUAUUCCCCUGGAAGGACUUCCAGAAAGUCACUACCCCUGACAAGACUCAGAUCGGCUCCUGGACACGAAUGACAGGGGUUUGUGACACCUCAGAAAUCGAGUACAAGCCUGUGUGUGCAUAGGUGUGCAUGAGCACACAGGGACUUUUCUAAGGAGUGGCCUCCAGCUCUCAUCAAGGAGGGAUGUGCCCCAAAAGGUUGGAAGCUCCCAUUCAUUCAUGUCCCUCAGCCCUCCCACUGUGGACAGCCCCCUGAACUCCAGAGCCCACACCUGGCAGUUCCUGUGUGUGAAUCCCAAGCAAUCCACACGUUCAGGUUUGAUUUGCCCUGUGGAGAAGCUUGGAGACCUCAGAGUGGAGGCAGUGAUGCCAAUGUCUACUUGAGUCAAGGAAGAUGGCAGCCAAAGAUUUCCAGCCACGAGCAAUGCUUCCUCCAAGAUGACCAGGCUGGGCUUUAUCCCGAGCUCCGUUCAAACCACACAGACAGCAAGCAGGGGUGCGGAGAUGCAGUCCGCUGAGCUGGCCCUGGGGCCAGGCACCCUUCUGGAGGAGUCGGACAAGCCCCACAGUGAAGAAACUACCAGCCAGGGCUCUAGUCCCUGGGACCGAUCCCCACCCGUGCUGUCCGGUCCAUUUUGGCUUACUUUGCAGACAUGGUCACAGACGUACUAAGCCUUUCAAGGUGGCUUGGUAAGAAGAGUAGGCUUGGAUUGUACGGAAUCAGAGUGAGGGGUGGUGGCCCAGGUGAAAGGCUGGCUCCCAAAAAGAUGGGAAGUUUGAGUCUGUUUUCCACUGCCAAGAGUUUUGGAAACCUUGGGUUCAUCUAAGCCAGCACCCUGGAGAGAUGCCAGCACAGAGACUCUGGACCUUACAGGGGGUCCAGGACCUUACAGGACCCGACCCUGCAGGAGCCAGAGCCUUUCCCUGGGGUCCAAAAGAAGCUGAGGGAGAGGCACGGGUCCCUCAUCUGUGCCUGCGCCUGCGCACGUCAUUCUUGUCCCGCUCAUGGUCCAAAAGGCUCUGCAGCAAAGAUUCAUCUGUUUCAAUUUUCAUGGAAAUGAAGCAUUUUAUCUCAGAACACAGGGGGAAGAGUGAACUCCCAUUCCUUAAUGCAGAUGGACUAGAUCCCUUUUCACUUUCUUACUUUAAAA